CAUUCCUUCCCCCAAUGAGGGAUUUUUUUUUUUUCUUCACCUUUUAUUUAUUUAUUUAUUUUCCUUGAGAAAGGGGUAGAUUUCUUUUAUCCCAGAUCAAAUGACAAGGGAAGGAUCUGAGAUGUUUACUGCCAGGUAAAACACAAAGUCAUGGGUGUCCAGGGGGACCUCAUUCCGCAACCCUCAUACCAGGCUUAAAACAAAUGAUAUUAUCAGAAAAUGAUCACAGAAAGCAAGCUUUGCUCAAAGAGAAACAGCCUUUAUUAACCUCUCUUUGAAAUAACCUGAAAGCAAAGCCAAAGCAUAAUGAGGAAGGGUUACCUGUCCCCCUGUUGCUGCACCUACCAACUGUGUUUAGUGGGAACAACGUGCCAUGCACUGCUAAACUGCUCGUGUUAACACAGCGAUGGGGCUGCAACUAGAGAAGGCUCUUGGGUCUUUAGUAGAGGUUUUGCUUUAAUACUGUGCAAUAAUUUUCUACAACUGUAAAAUAAAACUGGAAGAAAAGAUGGUGCUGUGAUUUUCAGUCCUGAAAUGUACAUCUUCUUUUCCCAGGUCAAAAUGGAUGAAGAGGGAGAGAGGCAACCUCUGAGGGGUCCUGACCUAGUGCUAAAACAAUGCCUUGGGAACUGCCUGCAGCCCAGCAGCGCCUUAUGGCACUGCUUGACCAGAUGUCAUUUGAGAUCGGCAGUGGACCACAGGAGAAGGGAUGUGCAUCCAGCCUAAGCCUGUCAUUUCUCUCCUACCCGUCUUAGUGAAGAAGUACAGAUCAUUCUCUCCUGCAGCAGCCCUUAUUUCAGCACCUACUAUAUCAUAUCUCAGAAUUCCCUUAUUUCAGGCAAGCAGGUGAGAGAUUCCAUAUUUUCUGGAACUUUAAUCAUUUUCACUGCUGUCCUUCCAAUUUUCUUCUGAAAACGCAAUACCUCAAAAUGGACAAAACAUGAGACCUUGCUAGUACUGAGCAAAAGGAAAGAAGAACUUGAUAUGUCAUGCAUGCUGGAUUCCUAUUUUUAUAUCCCAGGAUGAUGAAGUUUUGUUGUUGUUUUGUUUGUUUGUUUGUUUUGUUUGUUUGUUUGUUUGUUUGUUUUUGGCAGUUUAUAGCCAAUUUGUGAAGAAAUUUGAAUCUGUUCCUGGCUCAAUAUGCAGCAUCCCCUCUCAAAUUUGCUUGUUUUCAAAUGUGCUGAAUAGAGUUUCUAUGCCAUAGUUGAGACUGUUAAUGAAAACCGACUGGGGUCACUGGCAUUCAGCUGCUCUGCUCUUUUUCAAUAUAGUGAAACAUGUCAUUUCAUGGUGGGAAAACACAGAAAAUACUAUUUCUUUUUUACAUCUGAUUAUAUGUAUCAUCUGUUCUAUGUCUUUACACUGUUAUUUGUAAUGAAAUUACCUGCAACAGGUCUCCAUUUUUCGCAUCCCAAAUUUACCAAUAUGUAAAGUUUGAAGCCUAGCUUUUCUUUUUAUAGAGUUUCAUUUUUAUUUGCUUUGUUUUUAUGUACAGAAUGAGUGCAAACAAGGGGAAUAUCCAUUACAGUUAAAGGAUGAAAGGACUUAUUACAUGGGAUGUGAGAAUUAUUUGUUAAAACCACCAUCUUCUUGGUAAAUACAUCCAAGGCUAGGAGGACACAACUUGUUAUGUAAGGAUGUUCUGUCCCUCCAGUUGUCAAGAGUGAAAGUAUCAGAAGAAAUAAAAAGAAAACAGAAAGAAUUUUCUGCAACCUAUAGGAAGAAAAAAUUAUCUUGUAAUGUAAAUGGAUGUCACGGGGGAAUCCUACCAUAACAAAUUUAUUUGUAGGUAAAACGAAUGUUUAAAUUUAUUAAAACAGCUGAGGUUUAAAUAAAAAGCAUUAAAAAACAUUUGCUUAAAACUUUUCAUUAAACACCUCAGUUUAUUUUUCCAUUAUCUUUUCAUAGUUAAAUCAAACUCUCAGAGGAAAAAAGAGUAGGAGGCUGUGAUCUUUCUUCUCCAAGUGGACACCUGAGAAAGAUAUGUAAACAAGAAGAAAGAAUAUUUUAUCAUGAGAUGGCAAAAGAUUGGUCCUUCAAUCCUUUCUUUUAAAUAUGUCUUUAAAAUUGCUUUGAACAGUCUUUUUCUCCUAACCAUGCUGUCAACUAACCUUGUCAGCUUGUGGUGCUGUACUCCUAAAUUCCAGUUUUUGCCCUUAAAACAAAAUCCAAGUGCAUUGUGAAGGACAGUUUCCCUCAGAGAGUGUUCCAACCAGACGCUCUGGAAGGCACUGCAGGAAGGCUGGAUCCUUCUGUCCCACUCCACCUUGUUUUGAACAUCCCUGCAAAAAUUUGCAUUGCACGCUAGGUAUAAUCUUUUUUUUUUUCUGGAGAUUAAGAAUAUUUAGAAAAUUAUUUUAAGAAUGUUGCCUUUCUAUCUGCCAAAUAUAGCUUCAAGAUGGGUCAGUAGACUAGGCAGCCUUGUGAGGACUCAUCUACAUCAGUGCCAUGUUCUGGGUCCCUCAGUUAUUGAAAGAAGUGAGCUAUUUGCAGAUUGACCAGAAAAAGACAAAGGAAUGUUCAGAAGACUAAAAAGACUUCCUAAUAAAGAAGGUUUUAUCCUAAAGAAGUUACAGAAGCAGUCUUCAAAUAUGUAAAGGACUCCUUUAAAUGCUCAUUUUUAUUGAUAUGUGUUCUCCACGUCUGUGAAGGCUGGACAACACUGGACUUAAAUGGAAGCAAGAAAAAUUCAGGUUAGGAACAGAAAAAGACUUUGUAACAGAUAUACUGAAGAAGCAGAGGAACAGAUUAUGUGAGGAGACAAUGGAACUUCUAGCAUCAGAGGUGUUUAAGAAAAGAUUGGGAGAGACUCCUAAAGAAUUGGAGUAAGUUAUUCUGACUUGUGAAGGUCUAGUUCUGCCCCUGAGGGCUGUGACUCUGCCUAAGGUUUUUUGUGAGCUGCUGUAGGUGCGGGGAGAGUAGGAUAGAGAAGUGAGUACUACUGAUUAAAUGGGAGGCUACUCAACAGCACAUCCUGACACAAACGAAGAAGAGGUCUAUAAAAGCAGGCAAAACUUUCCUUGGAAGCUUUAAUCUGUGACUAGCUAGCUAGCCUUGAAUUUAGAUUAUACACUUUCAAAAUCUUAGAGAAGACUUGAAUUUGAACUGCUGGAGAAGGGCAAGCAUAAAGAACUGUUCACCUUCAAUGAGUCAGUGCAUACAAAAGGAGAGAGAAACUUGUCUUUCCCACCCAAGGAAAAGUGCUCUUCAGAAGUGCUAGGCGGUGGAGAAAAUCUCCCUUUAAACAAGUAUUUCAAAAAUUGUCUUCUAAGUUAAUCGGUACCUAAUACUUUGUGAUUAUUUCUCAGUGUAGAGGGAAGGGAGUAAACAUUUCCAAAACACUGCAUUGGCAGACGCCAAGGCAGAGAACAACAUUGUGCUUCCAUAACAAAAAGGAUAAAAAUUUAGCUUUCUUUCCUCACAUUCAGUGGUGUUUCACAUAACAAAAAAGUACCACUAUCACUAGUAUUCAAGAAAAUAACAUAACUAUCCUCCCUGGUGCACCUUGUUUUUAUUCAUUGGGAUACGAUCAUAUUGUGUGUCAGCACAUGCCACAUGACCAUGGGGAGGGGGGUGGUUUAGUGUGCAGAAUAAUGUAAUUACUCAUUCUUGAAUAAAAGGAUAAUUAC
rnacentral:lncRNA from 1 species